GGUGACGGCCGUGAACAUGGCCUCGCCGCGCUGGGAGCCCUCGCCGGGCCACGCCAGCCGCAGCAGCCACAGCAGCAUGGGGACGGGGCCCGGGGCAGC